UGCCACGUGUCACAAACCAUGCCACCUCAUCACCCUUAUUUUCUCGGUCCAUUCAGUGAAGUUAAAGCUGCUGCAAUACUCCACCAUUUGCAUGACAACUCAUCUUACUUUUGCAUGAAAACACCCUACACUAGUCAUUCAAUUAGCUGCAUAAGGGAGUGAGUUUUCACUUUGGCCGAUCCUGCUCCUCUUCAACUUCACUUUUCUUCUGCACCGCACUCAAACUCAUCUCUUGCUCUUCUGUUUUCUCUUCUUCCAUCACACAUAAUGACACACAUUUAGGAAGCCGCAACACAUCACAAUCUGUCCUUGCAAUAACCGAGAUAGAGAGUGACGGUGAGAGUUUAAUGAGAAAAUCGAGUUUAAUCCUCAAGACGACUUGUAGCUUGUCUGCCACGGGUGCCUUGGGGCUGGCCUUGAAGAGCUGCAAUUGGGUGUGGCCUUCAAGAAAUGCUAAAGGAUGGUUAGCUGUUGAAGAAGGAAUUCGCGAGGAAGGGAAGUAACUGAAAUAACGGAAUGAAAGCUUUGAUGAAACGAAGAGGUUUGGAGGCAAAGGCAUGGGUGUUGUUCGGCGUGCAAACCAGCUGCAUUUUAUGAGAAAGGAUUAGUGAAACGGGGUGUUUUGUGUAUUGUAAUCUUUGUAGUUGCGUUUUAAUUGUUGUUAUUUGCGUUUUGAUCUUUCCAUCACAGCCUGUGAGUAUAUAAGCAGUGCUGUGGAUGCUUAUCAUCUUGAACAUUGGAGAUACGGAGUUCUAGCUUUUGGAGGUUGAGAAUCCCUUGAAGAUUCUUUGCAAAUUUCAUAAUAGAAUCUUGCUCAUUCAGUCUCU